ACGAACGCUGGCGGCGUGCUUAACCCAUGCAAGUCGAACGGUGAAGCGCCUUCCUUUUUGGUGGGUGUGGAUGAGUGGCGAACGGGUGAGUAACACGUGAGUAACCUGCCCCCUUCUUCUGGAUAACCGCAUGAAAGUGUGGCUAAUACGGGAUAUUCUGGGUCUGUCGCAUGAUGGGUCUGGGAAAGAUAUUGUUUCGGUGGGGGAUGGGCUCGCGGCCUAUCAGCUUGUUGGUGGGGUGAUGGCCUACCAAGGCGGUGACGGGUAGCCGGCCUGAGAGGGUGGACGGUCACACGGGGACUGAGACACGGCCCAGACUCCUACGGGAGGCAGCAGUGGGGAAUAUUGCACAAUGGGCGCAAGCCUGAUGCAGCGACGCCGCGUGAGGGAUGGAGGCCUUCGGGUUGUGAACCUCUUUCGCCAGUGAAGCAGGCCUGCCUCGUUUGUGGGUGGGUUGACGGUAGCUGGAUAAGAAGCGCCGGCUAACUACGUG
rnacentral:rRNA from 1 species